rnacentral:rRNA from 1 species
GAUGAACGCUAGCUACAGGCUUAACACAUGCAAGUCGUGGGGCAUCAUGAUGUAGUAAUACAUUGAUGGCGACCGGCGCACGGGUGAGUAACGCGUAUCCAACCUACCCUCCACUCAAGUAUAGGCUUCCGAAAGGGAGAUUAAUCCUUGAUAUCGUCAUUCUCUCUCCUGUUAGAAUGAUAAAAGGACAUCGUUUCGGUAGAGGAUGGGGAUGCGUUCCAUUAGGUAGUAGGUGGUUUAACAGGCCACCUAGCCGAUGAUGGAUAGGGGUUCUGAGAGGAAUAUCCCCCACACUGGUACUGAGAUACGGACCAGACUCCUACGGGAGGCAGCAGUGAGGAAUAUUGGUCAAUGGGCGCAAGCCUGAACCAGCCAUGUAGCGUGAAGGAUGACGGUUUUUUUGAUUGUAAACUUCUUUUCUGUGCGAUUAAAGUGUGGCAUUUAUGCCAUAUUGCAGUAUCUCAGGAAUAAAGCUCG